AUGGCUUACUUACUCCAACUAGGUUCCACCUCUGAAAAUUUCCAUGGCUUCUCAACAGCACCAAGAGCUAGAGACCAAACCUUAAACAAACACAUCAGCCUGAAGGAGGACAAGGGAGGAACAUAUAUAAACUGCAGCAGUGUAUACUGUUAGAUGAGUGUAUUCUUGGCAUAAUUAUUUGUUAAACACAGGGAGAUAAAAUGUUACUCUGGUUUCAAAGAAGCCACAUUGCUUUUGAAUACAUAAAACAAGGAUGAGGAGAUGACUCAGUUGGUAAAGCACCUGUAGCAUAAGAAUAAAGACCUGAGUUGUGAUCCCCAACACACACGCACAAUUAUGCUUGAAGUGGCCCUGCAUAUCUGUAAACUUGUACACAGAGGGAUGGAGUCAGAUGGAUCCCUGAACACUCUGGACAGACUGUCUAGCUCAUCAAAGCGCCUACUUCAGUGAGAGAACUUGUCUUUGAGAAUAUUGUCGUGGAUUUGGAUGCUGGAGAAAUGGCUCAGUGGUUAAGAACACUGGCUCUUCAUUUAGAGAAGAGAAUUUGGGUUCUCAGUUCCCACUGAUUCUUCCUUUCUCAGGAGCUCCUUGUAGCUGGAGAGUUUUCUCUCUGGGUCCCUCCAAACCCCGGCAGUCCCUCAGCCCACUUAUAAAAUAAACAUGCAGACGCUUAUAUUAUUUAAACUGCUUGGCCAUUAGUUCAGGCCUAUCAUUGUCUAGCUCUUACUCUUAUAAUCAGUCCAUUUCUAUUAAUCUAUACUUUGCCAUGUGGCUCUUAGCUUACUGGUACCUUACAUCUUCCUUGUCCUGGCAGCUGCUGCAGGCAGUCUCCUCCUUCCCUUCCUGUUCACUUAAUUCUCCUCUCUGUUAGUCCCGCCUAUACUUCCUGUCUGGCUACUGGCCAAUCAGUGUUUUAUUUAUUAACAUAUUUGCCAUACAGAACAUCCCACAGCAGCUCGUAAUUACCUAUAGCUUUUCUUCCAGAGGUAGGACCUUGAGAGAUAUUCCCCCAUCUACUUCGGCAUUUUAACAGGUUGAGCAUCCCAAAUACUACAAAAUACAAAAUUUUUCAAGAUCUGGAACUUUUGAGCAACAAUAUGGUACUGAAACAGGAGAACAUUUAUGCAUUUCAGGUGAAGGAUGAUCUCCUGGGAAAAGAUCACAACUUUGUCAGAGUUUAAAGCUCAAUAAAGUCUUUCAUUGUUCACCUGCGAAAA